rnacentral:rRNA from 1 species
AUUGAACGCUGGCGGCAGGCCUAACACAUGCAAGUCGAGCGAGCGGCGGACGGGUGAGUAAUGUCUGGGAAACUGCCUGAUGGAGGGGGAUAACUACUGGAAACGGUAGCUAAUACCGCAUACCAUCAGAUGUGCCCAGAUGGGAUUAGCUAGUAGGUGGGGUAAUGGCUCACCUAGGCGACGAUACCUAGCUGGUCUGAGAGGAUGACCAGACACACUGGAACUGAGACACGGUCACGACUCCUACGGGAGGCAGCAGUGGGAAAUAUUGCACAAUGGGCGCAAGCCUGAGUCAGCCAUGCCGGGUGUAGGAAGAAGGCCUGCGGGUUGUAAAUUACUUUCAGCGAGGAGGCGUUACUCGCAGAAGAAGCACCGGCUAACUCCGUGCCAGCAGCCGCGGUAUAC